rnacentral:rRNA from 1 species
GACGAACGCUGGCGGCGUGCUUAACACAUGCAAGUCGAACGAAGUGGCGAACGGGUGAGUAACGCGUAAUCAACCUGCCCUUCAGAGGGGGACAACAGUUGGAAACGACUGCUAAUACCGCAUACUGAAGGAGGGGAUUGCGUCUGAUUAGCUAGUUGGAGGGGUAACGGCCCACCAAGGCGAUGAUCAGUAGCCGGUCUGAGAGGAGGAACGGCCACAUUGGGACUGAGACACGGCCCAGACUCCUACGGGAGGCAGCAGUGGGGAAUCUUCCGCAAUGGACGAAAGUCUGACGGAGCAACGCCGCGUGGAGGAUGACACUUUUCGGAGCGUAAACUCCUUUUAUCAGGAAAGCGGUACCUGAUGAAUAAGCACCGGCUAACUCCGUGCCAGCAGCCGCGGUAAUAC